GACGAACCGUGCGAACGUUGUUCGGAAUCACUGGGCUUAAAGGGCGCGUAGGCGGCCGGGUUGGUCGUGGGUGAAAUCCCCCAGCUUAACUGGGGAAUUGCCUACGAUACUGCCUGGCUCGAGGGAGGAAGGGGCGGCCGGAACUGUCGGUGGAGCGGUGAAAUGCGUUGAGAUCGUAAGGAAGGCCAGUGGCGAAGGCGGCUCACUGGCCCGAUACUGACGCUGAGGCACGAAAGCGUGGGGAGCAAACAGG
rnacentral:rRNA from 1 species